rnacentral:rRNA from 1 species
CAGCCGCCGCGGUAAUACGUAGGUCCCGAGCGUUGUCCGGAUUUAUUGGGCGUAAAGGGAGCGCAGGCGGUUUAGUAAGUCUGAAGUUAAAGGCAUUGGCUCAACCAAUGUAUGCUUUGGAAACUGUUAGACUUGAGUGCAGAAGGGGAGAGUGGAAUUCCAUGUGUAGCGGUGAAAUGCGUAGAUAUAUGGAGGAACACCGGUGGCGAAAGCGGCUCUCUGGCUUGUAACUGACGCUGAGGCUCGAAAGCGUGGGGAGCAAACAGGAUUAGAUACCCCUGUAGUCCCUGUCUCUUAUACC